rnacentral:rRNA from 1 species
UACGUAGGGGGCAAGCGUUGUCCGGAAUUACUGGGUGUAAAGGGAGCGCAGGCGGGAAGCCAAGUCAGCUGUGAAAACUACGGGCUUAACUUGUAGACUGCAGUUGAAACUGGUUUUCUUGAGUGAAGUAGAGGUUGGCGGAAUUCCGAGUGUAGCGGUGAAAUGCGUAGAUAUAUGGAAGAACACCAGUGGCGAAAGCGGCUCUCUGGUCUGUAACUGACGCUGAGGUUCGAAAGCGUGGGUAGCAAACAGG